rnacentral:rRNA from 1 species
AGAGUUUGAUCAUGGCUCAGAUUGAACGCUGGCGGCAGGCCUAACACAUGCAAGUCGAACGGUAACAGGAAGCAGCUUGCUGCUUCGCUGACGAGUGGCGGACGGGUGAGUAAUGUCUGGGAAGCUGCCUGAUGGAGGGGGAUAACUACUGGAAACGGUAGCUAAUACCGCAUAAUGUCGCAAGACCAAAGAGGGGGACCUUCGGGCCUCUUGCCAUCGGAUGUGCCCAGAUGGGAUUAGCUUGUUGGUGGGGUAACGGCUCACCAAGGCGACGAUCCCUAGCUGGUCUGAGAGGAUGACCGGCCACACUGGAACUGAGACACGGUCCAGACUCCUACGGGAGGCAGCAGUGGGGAAUAUUGCACAAUGGGCGCAAGCCUGAUGCAGCCAUGCCGCGUGUAUGAAGAAGGCCUUCGGGUUGUAAAGUACUUUCAGCGGGGAGGAAGGGAGUAAAGUUAAUACCUUUGCUCAUUGACGUUACCCGCAGAAGAAGCACCGGCUAACUCCGUGCCAGCAGCCGCGGUAAUACGGAGGGUGCAAGCGUUAAUCGGAAUUACUGGGCGUAAAGCGCACGCAGGCGGUUUGUUAAGUCAGAUGUGAAAUCCCCGGGCUCAACCAGGGAACUGCAUCUGAUACUGGCAAGCUUGAGUCUCGUAGAGGGGGGUAGAAUUCCAGGUGUAGCGGUGAAAUGCGUAGAGAUCUGGAGGAAUACCGGUGGCGAAGGCGGCCCCCUGGACGAAGACUGACGCUCAGGUGCGAAAGCGUGGGGAGCAAACAGGAUUAGAUACCCUGGUAGUCCACGCCGUAAACGAUGUCGACUUGGAGGUUGUGCCCUUGAGGCGUGGCUUCCGGAGCUAACGCGUUAAGUCGACCGCCUGGGGAGUACGGCCGCAAGGUUAAAACUCAAAUGAAUUGACGGGGGCCCGCACAAGCGGUGGAGCAUGUGGUUUUAUUCGAUGCAACGCGAAGAACCUUACCUGGUCUUGACAUCCACGGAAGUUUUCAGAGAUGAGAAUGUGCCUCCGGGAACCGUGAGACAGGUGCUGCAUGGCUGUCGUCAGCUCGUGUUGUGAAAUGUUGGGUUAAGUCCCGCAACGAGCGCAACCCUUAUCCUUUGUUGCCAGCGGUCCGGCCGGGAACUCAAAGGAGACUGCCAGUAAUAGACCGGAGGAAGGUGGGGAUGACGUCAAGUCAUCAUGGCCCUUACGACCAGGGCUACACACGUGCUACAAUGGCGCAUACAAAGAGAAGCGACCUCGCGAGAGCAAGCGGACCUCAUAAAGUGCGUCGUAGUCCGGAUUGGAGUCUGCAACUCGACUCCAUGAAGUCGGAAUCGCUAGUAAUCGUGGAUCAGAAUGCCACGGUGAAUACGUUCCCGGGCCUUGUACACACCGCCCGUCACACCAUGGGAGUGGGUUGCAAAAGAAGUAGGUAGCUUAACCUUCGGGAGGGCGCUUACCACUUUGUGAUUCAUGACUGGGGUGAAGUCGUAACAAGGUA